rnacentral:misc_RNA from 1 species
UCAAAACCUGCCAUGCAGAACGACCCGCGAACAAGUCACCUGAAUAGGGAGACGCUAGUGCCUUAACGGGUGCCCUGCUGAUCCCGAAACUAGGCAAGAGGGCUCACGCCUUUGAACCUAGUAUAACCUUGAACCCCGGCGUGAGAAACGCCAAGGAACUUUAACGAGAAACGAUCUUCCUCAACGCGUCGUGCNAGCGGUGCUGUAGGGAUGGUCGUGCCUCCACUAUGUCUAUAACGACUAUCGGCAACGGAUAUCUCGGCUCUCGCAUCGAUGAAGAACGUAGCGAAAUGCGAUACUUGGUGUGAAUUGCAGAAUCCCGUGAACCAUCGAGUUUUUGAACGCAAGUUGCGCCCAAAGCCUUCGGGCCGAGGGCACGUCUGCCUGGGUGUCACGCACUCGUUGCCCCCACAACCUUCACCCCUAAACGGGUUUGGGUUGGGGGCGGAAUAUGGUUUCCCGUGCGCUCCCGCUCGCGGUUGGCCUAAAAAUGAGUCCUUGGCGCCGAGCGUCACGACAAGCGGUGGUUGAAAUACCCUCCUCUAAGAUGUCGUGUAUGUGAGUCGUCAACACUAAGGAUCUCUGAGACCCACGAUCAUCCUGCGACCCCAGGUCAGGC